GCCCUGUAGUGAGUGACACGUCAAACUGCAAAUUUGAAAAAGCCCCAUUCUUGG
rnacentral:tRNA from 1 species